rnacentral:rRNA from 1 species
CCUACGGGUGGCUGCAGUGAGGAAUAUUGGUCAAUGGGCGCGAGCCUGAACCAGCCAAGUAGCGUGAGGGAUGAAGGUUCUAUGGAUUGUAAACCUCUUUUAUAAGGGAAUAAAGUGAGGGACGUGUGCCGUUUUGUAUGUACGUUAUGAAUAAGGAUCGGCUAACUCCGUGCCAGCAGCCGCGGUAAUACGGAGGAUCCGAGCGUUAUCCGGAGUUAUUGGGUUUAAAGGGAGCGUAGAGGGCUUUUUAAGUCAGAGGUGAAAGUCUGUGGCUCAACCCUAAAAUUGCAGUUGAUACUGGGAGUCUUGAGUAUAUUUGAGGCAGGCGGCAUUCGUGGUGUAGCGGU